GCAUUAAUGGGGUAGUGGUAACCUGGGUCGUUGCCAUAGUAUGCAUCAGUGUCACUUACAUGCUCGACCCGCCGGGGGUUCGAUUCCCUCUUAAUGCA